rnacentral:rRNA from 1 species
GUCCUUGCUGUAAACGAUGUACACUUGAUGUAACUGGAAUCAACCCCAGUUGUGUCGGAGCUAACGCGUUAAGUGUACCGCCUGGGGAGUACGCUCGCAAGGGUGAAACUCAAAAGAAUUGACGGGGACCCGCACAAGCAGUGGAGCAUGUGGUUUAAUUCGAUGCAACGCGAAGAACCUUACCCAGAUUUGACAUGCAGAGGAAUAUAUUGGAGACAGUAUAGCCCGCAAGGGUCUUUGCACAGGUGCUGCAUGGCUGUCGU